GACGUAGGGGGCGAGCGUUGUCCGGAUUUAUUGGGCGUAAAGCGUGCGUAGGCGGCUGCGCAAGUCGGUUGUGAAACCCCGGGGCUCAACCCCGGAACUGCAUCCGAUACUGCGUGGCUAGAGGUAGGUAGGGGAGAUCGGAAUUCCUGGUGUAGCGGUGGAAAUGCGCAGAUAUCAGGAGGAACACCGGUGGCGAAGGCGGAUCUCUGGGCCUUACCUGACGCUCAGGCACGAAAGCUAGGGGAGCGAACAGG
rnacentral:rRNA from 1 species